UACAGAGGUGGCAAGCGUUGUUCGGAAUUACUGGGCGUAAAGGGCGCGUAGGCGGUCUUUUAAGUCUUGUGUGAAAUCCCUCGGCUCAACUGAGGAACUGCACGGGAUACUGGAAGACUUGAGUUCGGGAGAGGGAAGCGGAAUUCCGGGUGUAGCGGUGAAAUGCGUAGAUAUCUGGAGGAACACCGGUGGCGAAGGCGGCAUCCUGGACCGAAAUUGACGCUGAGGCGCGAAAGCCAGGGGAGCAAACGGG
rnacentral:rRNA from 1 species